AAGAUGCUAGUAUAACCGAACAAUACCCUGUCUUGUCAAGACAGAGCUGUGGGCUAAAAUCCCACGCACCUUA
rnacentral:tRNA from 1 species